GUGAUAAGCUGCGAUAAGCUUCGGGGAGUUGCACGUAAACUUUGAUCCGAAGAUUUCCGAAUGAGGAAACUCACUUAGAGUAAUGUCUAAGUAUCAUUAAGUGAAUACAUAGCUUAAUGAGGGGAACUCAGGGAACUGAAACAUCGAAGUACACGAAGGAAGAUAAAGAAAGUCGAUUCCUUAAGUAGGGGAGAGCGAACGCGGAUUAGCCCAAACCAAUAAAGUUUGCUUUAUUGGGGUGGCGGACAUAUCAUAACGAAGAGGUAUCGUAAUUGAAGAGGGUUGGAAAGACCCACCACAGAAGGUAAUAGUCCUGUAUGUUAAACGAGAAGACUUUAGAUAUGAUCCAGAGUACCACGGGACACGUGAAACCCUGUGGGAAGCAGGAGGGACCACCCUCCAAGGCUAAAUACUACCUAGUGACCGAUAGCGUAUAGUACCG
rnacentral:rRNA from 1 species